UACGUAGGGUGCGAGCGUUGUCCGGAAUUAUUGGGCGUAAAGAGCUUGUAGGCGGUCUGUCGCGUCUGCUGUGAAAAUCCGGGGCUCAACCCCGGACUUGCAGUGGGUACGGGCAGACUAGAGUGUGGUAGGGGAGACUGGAAUUCCUGGUGUAGCGGUGAAAUGCGCAGAUAUCGGUAGGAACACCAGUGGCGAAGGCGGUCUCCUGGGGCAUUCUUGACGCUGAGGCGCGAAAGCUGGGGGAGCGAACGGG
rnacentral:rRNA from 1 species